AGCGGCGGACGGGUGAGUAACGCGUGGGUAACCUGCCCUGUACACACGGAUAACAUACCGAAAGGUAUGCUAAUACGAGAUAAUAUGCUUUUAUCGCAUGGUAGAAGUAUCAAAGCUCCGGCGGUACAGGAUGGACCCGCGUCUGAUUAGCUAGUUGGUAAGGUAACGGCUUACCAAGGCGACGAUCAGUAGCCGACCUGAGAGGGUGAUCGGCCACAUUGGAACUGAGACACGGUCCAAACUCCUACGGGAGGCAGCAGUGGGGAAUAUUGCACAAUGGGCGAAAGCCUGAUGCAGCAACGCCGCGUGAGCGAUGAAGGCCUUCGGGUCGAAAAGCUCUGUCCUCAAGGAAGAUAAUGACGGUACUUGAGGAGGAAGCCCCGGCUAACUACGUGCCAGCAGCCGCGGUAAUACGUAGGGGGCUAGCGUUAUCCGGAAUUACUGGGCGUAAAGGGUGCGUAGGUGGUUUCUUAAGUCAGAGGUGAAAGGCUACGGCUCAACCGUAGUAAGCCUUUGAAACUGGGAAACUUGAGUGCAGGAGAGGAGAGUGAAAUUCCUAGUGUAGCGGUGAAAUGCGUAGAUAUUAGGAGGAACACCAGUUGCGAAGGCGGCUCUCUGGACUGUAACUGACACUGAGGCACGAAAGCGUGGGGAGCAAACAGGAUUAGAUACCCUGGUAGUCCACGCCGUAAACGAUGAGUACUAGCUGU
rnacentral:rRNA from 1 species